AAUGAAAGUCAAACUAUGACCCUUUCUCAAUUGUAUACUCCUCGAGUCAUCUCUCCUGUCUCCUCGUCUCCUUCUCCAAACCCAUAUGAGGAGAAAGUCAGAAGGGAGAGACCUAUAACUUACUCAUCCAAUGGGUUUUGAGAAGGAGACGGUGAGUGGGGAGAGAGGACGCGAGGAGUAUGCAAUUGAGCAUCUCCUUAUCACUAGGGUGCGGCAGGAGACGGGAUGGGAUAGACCGUAAACAACUUUUGUCAAAUUGAAAUGGAACGAUUUGAUCCCCAGUCAUCUCUAGCCUACUCAUCAGGGGAGUCUAACCAACAGUCCAACGAACCAGUUGCAUUUGAUCUACAAUCUUUAAGUCAACUAUGGUUUUAACAGCGCACUGGUUAACGUUAGGUGUUGGUCAAUAUGCCUUUACAGUGGGAGCAGCAACAGUCUCCACGCCUGCUCUGUUGGGUCUGGGGGUAAUAGCUGCUGUCACAGUUGGCUGCUAUUACGUCUACAAAACUGGUCAUGAGAAAGAAAAGGGUAACCAGAAGAAGGCAUGAUGUGACCCCGCCCCCGGCUAGAGGAUUCAGACAUCACAGCAGAACUCCACAAGAUAAUCACAGUUUGUGUGUUUCAAGGUGUUGUUGUAUUGAGAACAUGGAAUUGCGUUAAAAAUUAAAUAUGCAGUUGCAUUUUCACAUGUGAUAAUUAUGAUUCCUUUUACUAAAUACAGCUACAUUUCCCAAACAACUAUUUAGGGCUGUAAACACAAUGUCUACUUAGAUACAAAUAAUGGAAUUGAACAUAAAAGAAGUAUGGAUUAAUACAUAUAAUUUAGUUUGAUACAUAAAUAGGCAAGUCUUUUACUUAUUCCUACAAAUGAUAAAUGAAAAACAUGAAUUGAACAGCUUGAGUGUAUGGAAGCACAAAAUAAGGGUAAUACAUUAUAUCUGGUUCAUUGACGUGAACUCAGCCUCUUCUAAUUACAUCACAAUGUAUUACCUGGUCAAACUAGAACUAGUGUCGUGUCUUUGGCAUCAUUCAACUGAAGACAUAUUUUUAUCAAAUAAAUUCUCUGUAAUUAUUACGUGAUUAAACUAACUAAUCAUGUAACUGUGAUUAACUAGGUAGUCGGGGGAACCAAGGAAAAUAUUCAGAUUACAAAGUUAGAAUUUUCCUAAUAUAACUUGAAGAUAUUUUAAUAUCUGAUCAAUUAGUCUUCUAAUGAAUGAAUUAUUCUUUACCUCACAUUAGUCUCAUUCCAAACGUCGUAAAUUGUUGAUUAUCUGCAUGAACAGUCUUUACUAUGAGUCACCCAUACAUCAAUUGUCUUAAAUCAUUUAUUUACUAACUAAAUAAUCACAGAAAUGUAUAAACAAACAAACAGAUAUAGUUACAAGGAAAUGAUAGCGGAGUUUCCCUAGUGGGAUAAACCGGUAUCGCGGAUUGGUGGACAAAAGGGAAAAGGGGGUCGACCGAGAUAAAAGACACUACAAAGUUGAUUAUCAUAACAAUUGAAAUGCUAAUCUUUUGCACAUGAACGCUCACUCAUUCGGGAAUAAUUGCAAUCAAUAUAUAUAUUUACGCUCAGUGUGUCGUCGUGAUCUCUGUUGGAAAGUUUGUUACUUUUGGAUUGGUUGUCCGCCCUCUCGCUCUCUGCGGUGGUUAGAAUGGCUAGUUCAGAGUAACAUUCAGCAAUGUUGUUAUAGAAUAGAUGUUUUGGCGGUUGUCAGUCAGAUAAAUUCCCAUGGUGGGGGUUAUAUUCAGAAGGGCAGAAAAAGGCUGUCCCAUGACACCAGAUCAAUGUCUGUACUCAUGGGGAGGGCCAAUGACUUAGUUCACUUUAAAGGGAAUUGGGUUCCCUAUCAUUAAACAGUUUAAAAUCACAUUACAUAAGUUCACAAAUAGUUUCAUCUUUACUCAUUCAUUUUACACAACAAUUAGAUGCAAGCCUCAUAACUGAGACUCUCGUAUAAACAGAGUUAUGGUAAUGUGGCUGUAUUGUCUCUCAUGAGUUUCACAAACAUUAAACGAAUUGGACCGGUCAUAGCUGGAUUCUUCCCCGACGGUGUACACCUUCUCCAAAACAUGUACAUUGUUCAGUCCUCAAGUUCUAUGUUGUGGAAGAAAUUCCUUUGUUCUCCCUAUAAACACACACUCUCUCUCUAUACUGUCUGGCCAUGAGGAAGAAUCUCCUCCAGGAACUUACGACCUGAGAUAACAGCAGCCUGGGUGAAGGAGAGAGAGGGGGGGGGGGUGGUGCUCGCUGUACCCAAAGAGGGCAACGUCGUGACACUAGGGAGGAGCUACCCAUCAGAUUAGGUGUACGAUUCACUUUGACUUUCACCUCUGCAGGCCGUCAUUGUAAGUAAGAAUUUGUUCUGAACUGACUUGCCUAGUUAAAUAUAGGUUAAAUAAACACAUUUAAAUAGAACAGAGAUAGAGGGCACCUGACCUGACACUGGACAAGAGAGCACCUGUAUUCGAAACCUUUAUAGACAUAUUCAUUUAAAAGGAAAUACUCAGGCAAGAUGGUCCAAGCAUUCUCAGUGUAGCUACUGUAAAAUCCGGUUGGUUUCACGUAGAACCUUUUACACAGAGAGUUCUACAUGGAACCCAAAAGAGUUCGACCUGGAACCAAAAAGGGUUCAGGAAAAGAAGAAUUACAUGAAAUGUACUGUCUAUCACUUAUCUGAUAUUCUGAAAUAUGGUAAAUGGCCAUUGCAACAAAAACAAGGGAAAAAAAGUUCAACAUUAUCUGAAAGUAGACUGUUAGAUAAAAACAGUUACUGAAAAAAAGACAAUGCAUUUCUCUAGUUUGCUAUAGCUACUGUUAUCUGAAUUACCACUGUUCAUAUUUAAUCGUUUUUUUCCCCUUUACCUGUGAAAGACCUUGGGACUAAAUAUAUAUCUUGUAUGUUAUUUGUUUCCAUUUGGUAAUUAAAACUUCUUGUUGAUGCAUAA